UACGAAGGGGGCGAGCGUUGUUCGGAUUUACUGGGCGUAAAGGGCGCGCAGGCGGCUCAUUUUGUCAGGCGUGAAAGCCCCGGGCUUAACCUGGGAACUGCGUUUGAUACGGAUGGGCUAGAGUUCGGGAGAGGAGAGUGGAAUUCCCAGUGUAGAGGUGAAAUUCGUAGAUAUUGGGAAGAACACCGGUGGCGAAGGCGGCGAUCUGGGUAGAUACUGACGCUGAGGUGCGAAAGCGUGGGGAGCAAACAGG
rnacentral:rRNA from 1 species